rnacentral:rRNA from 1 species
UACGUAGGGUGCAAGCGUUGUCCGGAAUUAUUGGGCGUAAAGGGCUCGUAGGCGGUCCAUCGCGUCGGGAGUGAAAAGCUGGGGCUCAACCCCAGUCCUGCUUCCGAUACGGGUGGACUAGAGGUAUGCAGGGGAGAACGGAAUUCCUGGUGUAGCGGUGAAAUGCGCAGAUAUCAGGAGGAACACCGGUGGCGAAGGCGGCCUGCUGGGACGUGGCUGACGCUGAGGCGCGACAGCGUGGGGAGCAAACAGG